AGAAGUUUCCUAAGUUAAGACUAUUACAUUAAAGGGGCCAUGCGAAUCUCUGUAUCCUUCCCAUUUUAGUACGUGCAUUGCCGAACCCUGGCAUCAACCACUUUUCAAGGAUCCUUGGCUCUUGGA